AAGCCACCUGACGCGGUAAAAUUCCUCUAUACAGCCACACGUGCGUCUAUGGAAAUGCAACCCAAUUCGUAGAAGACAAAGGAGCCAACACCAACAUAAACGCAGGUAAAGAAAACUGGGACACACAUACCCAUACAUACACUCGUAAUAAAAGCAAAAGAAAUGUCAUAAAAAAAAUAAAAACAAAACGAAACAUAACUUGGCAUCCAAGGAGAACUGUUUGUUGCCCCGACUACCAAUUCAAUAGUUGUUGCUAGUGCCGAAAAUAUGAAUACAAAACCAAAAUAUGCUACGUAAAAAGAUAUUGCAAGUAUCAAAAAACGCCAAAGGGGAACACAAGAAACGAAUUUUG